AGGGCACCACCAGGAGUGGAGCCUGCGGCUUAAUUUGACUCAACACGGGAAAACUCACCCGGCCCGGACACCGUAAGGAUUGACAGACUGAGAGCUCUUUCUUAAUUCGGUGGGUGGUGGUGCAUGGCCGUUCUUAGUUGGUGGAGCGAUUUGUCUGGUUAAUUCCGAUAACGAACGAGACUCUGGCCUAUUAAAUAGGCGAUACAUAGAAAAGUGUAUCGAACUUCUUAGAGGGACAAGCGGCGUCUAGCCGCAUGAAAUAGAGCAAUAACAGGUCUGUGAUGCCCUUAGAUGUCCGGGGCUGCACGCGCGCUACACUGAAAGAGUCAGCGUGCGUUUUACCUAGUUCGGAAGAACCGGGUAACCCAAGUAAAUUCUUUCGUGCUUGGGAUAGAGAAUUGCAAUUAUCUCUCUUAAACGAGGAAUUCCCAGUAAAUGUGGGUCAUAAGCUCGCGUUGAUUACGUCCCUGCCCUUUGUACACACCGCCCGUCGCUACUACCGAUUGGAUGACUUAGUGA
rnacentral:rRNA from 1 species